ensembl:rRNA Gm23662 predicted gene, 23662
CUCCAGAACUGCACCAUCUUGAAUGUACCCACUUUUGUCUGAUCUUAGAAGCUAAGAAGGUUGAGCCUGGUUAGUACUUGGAUGGGAGGAGAUGAUCAGUCAGCCUGGAGU